GGAGGAUCCAAGCGUUAUCCGGAUUUAUUGGGUUUAAAGGGAGCGUAGGCGGGGUAUUAAGUCAGUUGUGAAAGUUUGCGGCUCAACCGUAAAAUUGCAGUUGAUACUGGUAUCCUUGAGUGCAGCAUAGGUGGGCGGAAUUCGUGGUGUAGCGGUGAAAUGCUUAGAUAUCACGAAGAACCCCGAUUGCGAAGGCAGCUUGCUAAACUGUAACUGACGUUCAUGCUCGAAAGUGUGGGUAUCAAACAGGAUUAGAUACCCUGGUAGUCCACACGGUAAACGAUGGAUACUCGCUGUUGGCGAUAUACUGUCAGCGGCCAAGCGAAAGCAUUAAGUAUUCCACCUGGGGAGU
rnacentral:rRNA from 1 species